GCCUGGAUGGCUCAGUUGGUUAGAGCGCAGGUCUCAUACUCCGGUAUGACCACUGCAACGGUGGGCAAUCCUGAGGUCGUGAGUUCGAUCCUCACUCCGGGCA
rnacentral:tRNA from 1 species